rnacentral:rRNA from 1 species
CUCUGUGACUCCUACGGGAGGCAGCAGUGGGGAAUAUUGCACAAUGGGGGAAACCCUGAUGCAGCCAUGCCGCGUGUGUGAAGAAGGCCUUCGGGUUGUAAAGCACUUUCAGUAGGGAGGAAGGUAGUGUAGUUAACACCUGCAUUAUUUGACGUUACCUACAGAAGAAGCACCGGCUAACUCCGUGCCAGCAGCCGCGGUAAUACGGAGGGUGCGAGCGUUAAUCGGAAUUACUGGGCGUAAAGCGCAUGCAGGCGGCCUGUUAAGUCAGAUGUGAAAGCCCCGGGGCUUAACCUCGGAAUUGCAUUUGAAACUGGCAGGCUAGAGUCUUGUAGAGGGGGUAGAAUUUCAGGUGUAGCGGUGAAAUGCGUAGAGAUCUGAAGGAAUACCAGUGGCGAAGGCGGCCCCCUGGACAAAGACUGACGCUCAGAUGCGAAAGCGUGGGGAGCAAACAGGAUUAGAUACCCUGGUAA